rnacentral:rRNA from 1 species
UUGGCGACCGGUGCACGGGUGCGUAACGCGUAUGUAACCUACCUAUAACAGGGGCAUAACACUGAGAAAUUGGUACUAAUUCCCCAUAAUAUUCGGAGAGGCAUCUCUCCGGGUUGAAAACUCCGGUGGUUAUAGAUGGACAUGCGUUGUAUUAGCUAGUUGGUGAGGUAACGGCUCACCAAGGCAACGAUACAUAGGGGGACUGAGAGGUUAACCCCCCACACUGGUACUGAGACACGGACCAGACUCCUACGGGAGGCAGCAUG